GACAGAGGCCCCAAGCGUUAGGCGGAAUCACUGGGCUUAAAGCGUGUGUAGGCGGACGCCUAAGUGUCUUGUGAAAUCCCACGGCUCACCCGUGGAACUGCUGGGCAUACUGGGCGUCUUGGGCCAACUAGGGGCAGCCGGAACAAGCGGUGGAGCGGUGAAAUGCGUAGAUAUCGGGAGGAACACCUGUGGCGAAAGCGGCGCACUGGACCACAUCUGACGCUGAGGCGCGAAAGCUAGGGGAGCGAACGGG
rnacentral:rRNA from 1 species